rnacentral:rRNA from 1 species
AGUGAACGCUGGCGGUAGGCCUAACACAUGCAAGUCGAACGGCAGCACAGUAAGAGCUUGCUCUUACGGGUGGCGAGUGGCGGACGGGUGAGGAAUACAUCGGAAUCUACUUUUUCGUGGGGGAUAACGUAGGGAAACUUACGCUAAUACCGCAUACGACCUACGGUUGAAAGCAGGGGAUCUUCGGACCUUGCGCGAUUGAAUGAGCCGAUGUCGGAUUAGCUAGUUGGCGGGGUAAAGGCCCACCAAGGCGACGAUCCGUAGCUGGUCUGAGAGGAUGAUCAGCCACACUGGAACUGAGACACGGUCCAGACUCCUACGGGAGGCAGCAGUGGGGAAUAUUGGACAAUGGGCGCAAGCCUGAUCCAGCCAUACCGCGUGGGUGAAGAAGGCCUUCGGGUUGGAAAGCCCUUUUGUUGGGAAAGAAAAGCAGCAGGUUAAUACCACGCUGUUCUGACGGUACCCAAAGAAUAAGCACCGGCUAACUUCGUG